GGCUCUUGCAAUUUCUUCCUCAUUUGUAAACAAGAAUCGAUUUCAAUCAAUUAUAAGUAGGUACAUAAACUCUUUUAUUGUUCACGAUAAUAAAAAAAUUCGACUUUUCCUCUCUACUUCAACUCCAAAUUUGUUAAACUUUUAAAACUCUAUGAAUCUGAAAUUUUUGAUUCAUUUACAAUUUCUUCUGCCAAAAAAUUUCCUUUAAAUAUACAUAAAUAGUUAUCUGCACUUCCUUUUAGUAUCUCUUGCUUUAUUAUUUCCCUUUUCUGCGUACUNNN
rnacentral:lncRNA from 1 species